UACGUAGGGCGCAAGCGUUGUCCGGAAUUAUUGGGCGUAAAGAGCUCGUAGGCGGCCUGUUACGUCUGCUGUGAAAUCCCGGGGCUUAACCCCGGGCGUGCAGUGGAUACGGGCAGGCUGGAGGCAGGCAGGAGAGAACGGAAUUCCCGGUGUAGCGGUGAAAUGCGCAGAUAUCGGGAGGAACACCGGUGGCGAAGGCGGUUCUCUGGGCCUGUACUGACGCUGAGGAGCGAAAGCGUGGGGAGCGAACAGG
rnacentral:rRNA from 1 species